rnacentral:rRNA from 1 species
CAUUAAUGAGAAGCUGCCCCUCGUGGGUAGACCUCCCACCCUCUGUGAACUUACCUUUGUUGCUUUGGCAGGCCCGUCCUCUGGACCGCCGGCUUCGGCUGGCCCGUGCCUGCCAGAGGAUUCCAAACCCUGUCUGUCAGUGUUGUCUGAGUCUAUAUGAAAUCGUUAAAACUUUCAACAACGGAUCUCUUGGUUCUGGCAUCGAUGAAGAACGCAGCGAAAUGCGAUACGUAAUGUGAAUUGCAGAAUUCAGUGAAUCAUCGAAUCUUUGAACGCACAUUGCACCCUCUGGUAUUCCGGAGGGUAUGCCUGUUCGAGCGUCAUUUCAACCCUCAAGCUCUGCUUGGUCUUGGGCCGCGCCGGUCAUUGCGGCGGGCCCUAAAAUCAGUGGCGGUGCCGUCCGGCUCCAAGCGUAGUAGUGACAUCGCGCUCUCGGAGAACCGGGUGGUUGCUUGCCAGCGAACCCCCAUGCUUCCAAAGGUUGACCUCGGAUCAGGUAGGGAUACCCGCUGAACUUAAGCAUAUCAAUAAGCGGAGGA